AUUGAACGCUGGCGGCAUGCCUUACACAUGCAAGUCGAACGGCAGCGCGGGGCAACCUGGCGGCGAGUGGCGAACGGGUGAGUAAUAUAUCGGAACGUGCCCUGGAGUGGGGGAUAACGUAGCGAAAGUUACGCUAAUACCGCAUACGAUCCAAGGAUGAAAGCAGGGGACCUUCGGGCCUUGUGCUCCUGGAACGGCCGAUAUCUGAUUAGCUAGUUGGUGGGGUAAAAGCCUACCAAGGCGACGAUCAGUAGCUGGUCUGAGAGGACGACCAGCCACACUGGAACUGAGACACGGUCCAGACUCCUACGGGAGGCAGCAGUGGGGAAUUUUGGACAAUGGGGGCAACCCUGAUCCAGCAAUGCCGCGUGUGUGAAGAAGGCCUUCGGGUUGUUAAAGGCACUUUGUUCAGGAACGAAACGG
rnacentral:rRNA from 1 species